ACCUGUAAUCCCCAAAACAUAAAAGUCCAAUUAUUAUUUCAUCAAAGAAGUCAGACUUUUUUGAAACAGACUGCCUGUGAUAUUGAAUAUUUAGGAUAUGUUUAUUCACAUAGCAGACGCUUUUAUCCAAAGCGACUUACAAUUUAUAACCUGUAGGGCAUGUUGUGAUCUGUGGGGGAAACCGGAGUACCCGGAGGAAACCCACGCACGCAUGGGGAGAAAAGCCACAGCCGAGUUUCGAACCUGUAACCUUAGUGAUGGGAGGCAACAGUGCUAACCACUGCGCCACCAUGCAGCCCACAGAAUACAUUUAAGUAUGUUUUUGACUGUUGUGUGGGACACAUUGAGAUAGUUAAUUGUUUCAAUGUAAAAGUACAUUUUAUUUAUUUACAGCUUCCAACUUUUUUUUUUCCAAAACCCACUUUAAAAAGUCUGUAGAGGGCAAUGUUCAGUCACUUUCAAAGUGAACCAGUGGAAGUGUGGACCGUAAAAUAUCAGUACUAGUCAAAGGGGUUAAGGGUCUCAGGGACAACGAGGCACACCAAAGGUCAUUUUGCCAUUCGGUCUCAUGCACAGAUAAAAUCUAUCAGUGUUUAAAAACAUCCUGUUUCAUGUAUUCAUAUGAUUGUUUCUAAUGAACAAAUCAUCUCUUGUAGAUGAAGUAAAUUUAAAUCAGACAUAGCUCGUCCGUGCCAUGGGGAGAUUACCGUUUGUCAUUGAUGCGUUCCGACAUGAAAGAUUUCGUCUCGCCAUGUCUACGCAAUCCGGACCGGGUCCCAUCCUGCGGAAAAAAAAAACAAAAUGCAGAAAGACUUCAUUAUUUUGUCAAUAAAUAUCACUGUAAGGAACUUUUAUUUUCAGGGCUCUUAUUGUCCGUCCUCCUCACUUCGCCAACGCCUGAGACUCGGUGCAGGUCUGUGCGAUGAAACGUUCACAAAAGAAGACAAAGCCCUCUGCCGGUAGACAGACAGACAGGCAAAUGAAAAAACCCAUCUAAGUUCGAAAGUGCACUAAGCUUGUGGUGAUUAUAUAUUUUAUAUAUAUGUAUAUGUGUACGUAUAUAUAUAUGUAUGUACUCUCUGCUUGUGCUGCAUGCAAAUGCAUCUAACGCGGCCAGCUGGAGACGCCGCUGUCUGUCGUCUUAUAUGUCCUACAGGCCAUGUGAUCUCACAGGAUUAUGCAAUCACUCUCCCAUGACAAAGAUGUUCAGCUUUGACGAAGUAACGCUGGUUUCCACUUUUUCAAACAAAAUACACGUUAGACAAGUCCAGCACUGCAGAUGUCACAUGAAGAACAUCUGCACGACCCGCCAACAAAUCCUGAACAUCCUGUCUCUGACCAGGUACGCACAUGCCGAGACAAACGAGCCGAGCGACUCCACAAAGACCCACGGAACAUAAAGUCUAUCGGUCUGUUUUGAAUUUACACCGCCUCUCUCUGCUUCCUCUUUGUCUCUGCGCUCUGAGAUAUUUUCCUCUGCCCCACUUUUAUGAGUCCCUCCGUUGCUCUUGCAGAGACAAAGAGUGGAUGAUGCGAACCAGAGGCUGGAGGGAAAAUCGGAGAAACGCUCUCGUAAGGAAGGACGAGCUAGAUCAAACGAACGAGCAUGAAGAUAGACAUAAAUGAAAGAAGAUGGCGGGUGGAUUUGGUCAGACAAACUGCUCGUCUCAAUUUGGCAACACCACCUGAAGAGCAGGAACACAGAACCAGCCCACAGACCGCUGCAGAGCAAGGUGAUUCUAUCGACGCCCGGAUUAGCUGGACCUCAAAAGCAAAACGUAAUUAAACCCGAUCCAGAUAAAUUAGAUUUAAAGUCAGCACUGAAACUGUUUUAUAGCUUGCUUUUGUGUCAAUAUGAUUACGGGCUUGAAAUUGAAUUUGCUGGAGAAGAAAUUAGAACCGUUGCAGAUCUAAUAUUGGCCGCGAUGGAUGAGGCACAGAAAGCUGGAUCCUCCUUUCUCUUGUCUUUUGUAGCAACAGAUUUGUUGUGAGACAUUAGGAAACAAAAGUUUCACAAAUUUAAAGUGUAGAUUUAUUAUCAUUUAAUAAAAGAUCUGCUUGAAAUAACUGACUUUAUUGCUGAAUAUCAUUUUAUAGCUUUGAAGCCCUUGUUGACGUCAGUCUUCAUACUCACCACACAUGGAGGCUGGUAGGCUGAAGGCCUUCUCAUGAAGUCUGGGCGACGCCGCAGGGAAAGCUAGAAGGUUGUACAGUUAUCUCCAGGCUGUUUAUUAUGCGAAACUAUACAACCAACUACCUCACACUGCAGAGCACCGGUGGAGGGUCAGCGCUGGAGUCUGCCGUCUCUCCUUCGAGUCUUCUUGUCCUGUCGUCUCCAGUUAUCACCUCUUGCCGCCCAUCUAAUUCCACGCACGAUGUCACAGAUCACCAGAAAGCUUCCAUAUGUUUCAGAUUAAUCCAAUUAUCUUUUCAGGGUCUGAUUCUUAAGAAAAUGUAAAACACUAUCCUCGUCAAUUUUGGUUGUUUUAAAACAAACUAAAAGCAGGAAAAUCUAAAGUUUAAAGCUGUGGUGAUGAAAUCCUGCAAUCCUUUCAUUUCUGUGGACUUGUCUCCCUCUUGUGGGAGGACACAGAACAAAGACGCCCCCCCCUUCCCCCAUAAAAGGGCCACACCAGACCUUCACUGUCUGGAAUACAAAGACGAACACUUAACCUUCAGUUCUCACUGUAGGCGUCUGCCUGACCUACUUCUGCAAAGGAAAGCUGCUGGAAUCUUCCAUACCCUCAAAGAUCUGAUUCAACACUACAGAAGACUGUUUUCUGUGUUUCAGAGGUUAAACUCCACCAGUCACCUUCUAUUAUUUCUGUUUUACAGAACCGUUGCUCAGGUUUCCUCGCUCCUGCAGCCUUUAGAGGAGAUUAUCAGGUGUGACCUGCUCAGCUGAUGUAAAGAACAAUCGUGUUUUUAGUUGUUGUUCAAACUGAAAACACCACAUUUUAAUUAAGCAAGGCAUCAAUUAAACACCUUAACCCUCUCAGGCUCAAAAUAAGUUUUGAGAAAAGGACAAACAACUAAGUCCUUCAGGGCUACUUCUGACUUCUGAGUUAAAAAAAAAACGCUCAUGAAAUACGUGUGUGGAGUAACCAGGUAGGUAGGUUUUCACUGUUGCAAAUCUGCAACGCCUGCCUCCAGAGAGUUAAAUAUGCAAUAUUAACCAGGCAAGUCAUCCUAUACAUGUGAACAUAAAGUCUGGCCACAACCUAGAGACAGAGCUCGGUCGUGGGGUGGAAUCUACGGUUGUCUUUCAAACAGUCUUUGCAUGCAACUGGAGAGCACUAGGACCAAUCAGAGCAUCGAACAACGUGAUGUAUCCGUAGCGAUGGAAAUGAGUCAACAGGGUGGUCGGACAAAUGCUGUUGAAGAAGCAGAAGAACAGGUACUUCUAUCCGUACAUGCCUCAAAGAAAAGCCCAGGUCUAUCCUGCCAAAAGUUAAUACCAAAUCUGUUUUAAAGGAGUGCCAUUCCUGAGCCGCUGCCAUCUUUGUAGUUUUGCUCCGUCUCUGCUGUAAUGGUGGUAAGCUAAUUUAACGGUAGACCAGCUGAGGCUACAAUGGAACGUGCAGAGCCGAAUCUUUUGCUACUGCUAUGGUUAGUCUAGAUUUAUUUUCUAGGCUACAUCCAACUGUCAUACAUGUUUUUUGUAAUUACCUUUUGUUUGGGAACAGAAAUUGCGAGCUUUGAUACAGGUGAAGGCUGAAAAAAACCGUGUGAAAGAUGAUGUUUGUAGUGGUUAUUAUAGACUGAUAUAAUCUAAUUACCAUGUAUUUGAAGUUGAGCUAAAUAUGUUGAUGUCUGAUGAGAACGAUGCAAAUUAAUUCUGGUGGUAUAAUCUUUAUUAUGCAUUCUUUUAUGCCUGUACAUUUCGGCUUAAAGAUAAAAUAGAAUGAGCAAUAAUCUCAAAGAAAAGCAGCCCUGAUGUUGUCAUACUGGACUGUCGUCAAGUGUCAUCAUCUAUAGAGCAAUUACCCAAAACCAAAUAUUAUUGAGAACAUCAAUGAGUGAAACACAGAUUGACGAGAGAGACUCAAACACGUGCACUUGGGAUUUUGCCUGUCUAGACAGUAAAUAAAGAUACAUUUUGAGGACUGA